GUAUGAGAAUCAAAGUCUUUGGGGUCCGGGGGGAGUAUGGUCGCAAGAUCUGAAACUUUAAGAAAUUGACGGAAGGGGCACCACCAUGGAGUGGAGCCUGCGGCUUAAUUUGACUCAACACGGGGACACUUACCAGGUCCAGACAUAGUGAGGAUUGACAGAUUGAGAGCUCUUUCUUGAUUCUAUGGGUGGUGGUGCAUGGCCGUUCUUAGUUGGUGGAGUGAUCUGUCUGGUUAAUUCCGUUAACGAACGAGACCCCCGCCUGCUAACUAGUCGCUCCAAUGCAUUGCAUUGGCAGGGAUCUUCUUAGAGGGACUUUCAGUGACUAACUGGAGGAAGUUGGGGGCAAUAACAGGUCUGUGAUGCCCUUAGAUGUCCUGGGCCGCACGCGCGCUACACUGAUACGUUCAACGAGACCACCUUGGUCGAGAGGCCCGCGGUAAUCUUUUGAAAACGUAUCGUGAUAGGGAUAGAUCAUUGCAAUUAUUGAUCUUGAACGAGGAAUUCCUUGUAAACGCGAGUCAUCAGCUCGCAUUGAAUACAGUCCCUGCCCUUUGUACACACCGCCCGUCGCACCUACCGAUUGAACGUUGCGGUGAAAACUCGGGACCGUGGAACGCGUCCUUCGUUGGACGCGUCACCGUGGGAACUUGUGUG
rnacentral:rRNA from 1 species